rnacentral:rRNA from 1 species
GCUGGCGGCGUGCUUAACACAUGCAAGUCGAGCGGAAAGGCCCUUCGGGGUACUCGAGCGGCGAACGGGUGAGUAACACGUGAGGAACCUGCCCUUAGCUCUGGGAUAGCUUCGGGAAACCGGAAUUAAUACCAGAUACGACUGUUGUCGGCAUCGACAAUGGUGGAAAGAUUUAUCGGCUAGGGAUGGUCUCGCGGCCUAUCAGCUUGUUGGUGAGGUAACGGCCCACCAAGGCGACGACGGGUAGCCGGCCUGAGAGGGCGACCGGCCACACUGGGACUGAGACACGGCCCAGACUCCUACGGGAGGCAGCAGUGGGGAAUAUUGCGCAAUGGGCGAAAGCCUGACGCAGCAACGCCGCGUGGGGGAUGAAUGCCUUCGGGUUGUAAACCCCUUUCAGCAGGGACGAAGCGAAAGUGACGGUACCUGCAGAAGAAGCGCCGGCUAACUACGUGCCAGCAGCCGCGGUAAUACGUAGGGCGCAAGCGUUGUCCGGAAUUAUUGGGCGUAAAGAGCUCGUAGGUGGUUUGCUACGUCUGCUGUGAAAACCUAGGGCUUAACCCUGGGCCUGCAGUGGAUAC